rnacentral:rRNA from 1 species
UGUCGUCAGCUCGUGUUGUGAAAUGUUGGGUUAAGUCCCGCAACGAGCGCAACCCUUAUCCUUUGUUGCCAGCGGUCCGGCCGGGAACUCAAAGGAGACUGCCAGUGAUAAACUGGAGGAAGGUGGGGAUGACGUCAAGUCAUCAUGGCCCUUACGACCAGGGCUACACACGUGCUACAAUGGCGCAUACAAAGAGAAGCGACCUCGCGAGAGCAAGCGGACCUCAUAAAGUGCGUCGUAGUCCGGAUUGGAGUCUGCAACUCGACUCCAUGAAGUCGGAAUCGCUAGUAAUCGUGGAUCAGAAUGCCACGGUGAAUACGUUCCCGGG